rnacentral:rRNA from 1 species
AUGGUAGGCAACGGGAGCACCGGCAACAGUAUGCUUCAAAAAAAUAGUGUGGGCAAAGUGAUUUGUGUAUCGAAGGGAUAUCACCAGCCAAUCACGCUUUUAGCAACAUCAAAAUCGAAGUUAGGAAAUUUCACUGGUUCUUUCUUUGUCGGAGAGAGUAAGAUGAGAGUUGUGAUAAGAUAUGGAGCCUCGGGAAGGAAAAAUCAUAUGCAGUUGUGGGAAAUACGUGUAUGUCGCCAAUGGGAUUUGCCUUUCACCAGUUCACAAACUUCUUUGACCUUCUCGAACUGGUCAGGCGUCGGCCUUUAUACAUGGUAUUACGACUUUGAGUAG